AACGAACGCUGGCGGCAUGCCUAACACAUGCAAGUCGAACGAGACCUUCGGGUCUAGUGGCGCACGGGUGCGUAACGCGUGGGAACCUGCCCUUAGGUUCGGAAUAACUCCCCGAAAGGGGUGCUAAUACCGGAUAAUGUAUUCGGAUCAAAGAUUUAUCGUCUUUGGAUGGGCCCGCGUUGGAUUAGCCAGUUGGUAGGGUAAAAGCCUACCAAGGCGACGAUCCAUAGCUGGUCUGAGAGGAUGAUCAGCCACACUGGGACUGAGACACGGCCCAGACUCCUACGGGAGGCAGCAGUGGGGAAUAUUGGACAAUGGGCGAAAGCCUGAUCCAGCAAUGCCGCGUGAGUGAUGAAGGCCUUAGGGUUGUAAAGCUCUUUUACCCGGGAUGAUAAUGACAGUACCGGGAGAAUAAGCUCCGGCUAACUCCGUG
rnacentral:rRNA from 1 species